GACGAACGCUGGCGGCGUGCUUAACACAUGCGAGUCGAACGGAAAGGCCCUGCUUUUGUGGGGUGCUCGAGUGGCGAACGGGUGAGUAACACGUGAGUAACCUGCCCUUGACUUUGGGAUAACUUCAGGAAACUGGGGCUAAUACCGGAUAGGAGCUCCUGCUGCAUGGUGGUGGUUGGAAAGUUUCGGCGGUUGGGGAUGGACUCGCGGCUUAUCAGCUUGUUGGUGGGGUAGUGGCUUACCAAGGCUUUGACGGGUAGCCGGCCUGAGAGGGUGACCGGCCACAUUGGGACUGAGAUACGGCCCAGACUCCUACGGGAGGCAGCAGUGGGGAAUAUUGCACAAUGGGCGGAAGCCUGAUGCAGCAACGCCGCGUGCGGGAUGACGGCCUUCGGGUUGUAAACCGCUUUCGCCUGUGACGAAGCGUGAGUGACGGUAAUGGGUAAAGAAGCACCGGCUAACUACGUG
rnacentral:rRNA from 1 species